rnacentral:rRNA from 1 species
GCUAAGGCCGAUGGCGACCGGCGCACGGGUGAGUAACACGUAUCCAACCUGCCGUCUACUCUUGGACAGCCUUCUGAAAGGAAGAUUAAUACAAGAUGGCAUCAUGAGUUCACAUGUUCACAUGAUUAAAGGUAUUCCGGUAGACGAUGGGGAUGCGUUCCAUUAGAUAGUAGGCGGGGUAACGGCCCACCUAGUCUUCGAUGGAUAGGGGUUCUGAGAGGAAGGUCCCCCACAUUGGAACUGAGACACGGUCCAAACUCCUACGGGAGGCAGCAGUGAGGAAUAUUGGUCAAUGGGCGCAGGCCUGAACCAGCCAAGUAGCGUGAAGGAUGACUGCCCUAUGGGUUGUAAACUUCUUUUAUAAAGGAAUAAAGUCGGGUAUGUAUACCCGUUUGCAUGUACUUUAUGAAUAAGGAUCGGCUAACUCCGUGCCAGCAGCCGCGGUAAUACGGAGGAUCCGAGCGUUAUCCGGAUUUAUUGGGUUUAAAGGGAGCGUAGAUGGAUGUUUAAGUCAGUUGUGAAAGUUUGCGGCUCAACCGUAAAAUUGCAGUUGAUACUGGAUAUCUUGAGUGCAGUUGAGGCAGGCGGAAUUCGUGGUGUAGCGGUGAAAUGCUUAGAUAUCACGAAGAACUCCGAUUGCGAAGGCAGCUCACUGGACUGCAACUGACACUG